rnacentral:lncRNA from 1 species
GAGAUCUUAAAGAGCCAGAAAUUCAAGUCCUCUGUUCUCGGGACAGAAGAACCUGAAUUCAAGUUUGGGUUUUGCUCUGAUCAGCUCUGUGACAUCAGGUACAUCAACAUCAUCAGGCCCUUCUCAGAGAGUAUCGGAAACAUCAUCAGGCCCUUCUCAGAGAGUAUCGGAAACAUCAUCAGGCCCUUCUCAGAGAGUAUCGGAAACAUCAUCAGGUCCUUCUCAGAGAGUAUCGGAAACAUCAUCAGGCCCUUCUCAGAGAGUAUCGGAAACAUCAUCAGGCCCUUCUCAGAGAGUAUCGGAAACAUCAUCAGGCCCUUCUCAGAGAGUAUCGGAAACAUCAUCAGGCCCUUCUCAGAGAGUAUCAGAAACAUCAUCAGGCCCUUCUCAGAGAGUAUCGGAAACAUCAUCAGGCCCUUCUCAGAGAGUAUCGGAAACAUCAUCAGGCCCUUCUCAGAGAGUAUCGGAACAGGGACGGGGAAUCUGCACUGUUACUAAACUCGGGUAGGGAAAUGCAGGAGGCGUGACUAUGUCCUGAUGGGACUCACAUGGCCAUUCCCGGCCAUACUGCCAGGCGGUGCCCACCUCAAGGAGAGGCCGACUGUAGUGCCCGGCUGGUCUGUUAUAUACCACAAUGCAUUUCUUAAAUGAAUGAUUACUCCCAAACUAUAACCACACGCACACAAAACACUUCUCUUUUAAAAUUACUUAUAAAUUAAGAAACUCUUAAGAGCUUGAACAUAAGAAUUUUGAGUUGGGGAGGGCUGCGGUAUUGGAAGUAUAUAUUCAGCAGUUAACAAGCCCAAAUUGUAUAUCACUGGAGAAUGAUUCCAUUUUAAGUGUCCUUAUCCUCCUCUUGGGACGUUCCAUUGAAUUACUGCUUACUGGGAUACAACAUUUGCUCAUUAAUUUAGACUUUGUCAGUUUGUCAAAGCAGAACUUUCCAAGUAAUACAUCUAUUACCUAAAUAUAUUCCACACGUCUAUAUUAUGGAAACAAUACAUCUUUAUAUUUAAAAUAUCUGGAUAGCUCUAUAACACAAUAUGCUUUUAAUAACAGUACAAACCAGAGAAAAUAAAUCAAACAAGGCUGCAUAGGUGACAUCAUUUGCACGUUCCACCAAGCAAUCAUGUACGAUAACUGAUAUAUACUCCUUACUCCAGAAAGUCAGUAUUCUUACAGGAAAAAGCUACCGGAGGCCACAUAAUGUUUGCUUUCCAGACAGACCAGAUGCCUUUCCCUGGACUUCACUGUUCUCAGAGAGCUACCCAUGAUUCGUGUCAGGAUUUCAACACAAAAUGGCGGGUUGGGGGAGGUAUAAUUACACAGACUCAGAAGGAAGAAGUAUUUUCCUAAGAGCUACUCUAUGAAGUAGUAAGAUUUUAACAGUGAUUUUUAGCUGCAGUUGCCACUUUAAUGAACAAAUGGGGGCUCUGAGGUUCCUUGUAUAAUGGUACGAUAAUGGCAUGGGAGGAAAAGU